CCUACGGGCGGCAGCAGUGAGGAAUAUUGGUCAAUGGGCGCGAGCCUGAACCAGCCAAGUAGCGUGAAGGAUGACUGCCCUACGGGUUGUAAACUGCUUUUAUAAAGGAAUAAAGUGAGGCACGUGUGCCUUUUUGUAUGUACUUUAUGAAUAAGGAUCGGCUAACUCAGUGCCAGCAGCCGCGGUAAUACGGAGGAUCCGAGCGUUAUCCGGAUUUAUUGGGUUUAAAGGGAGCGUAGAUGGGUUGUUAAGUCAGUUGUGAAAGUUUGCGGCUCAACCGUAAAAUUGCAAUUGAUACUGGCAGUCUAGAGUGCAGUUGAGGUAGGCGGAAUUCGUGGUGUAGCGGUGAAAUGCUUAGAUAUCACGAAGAACACCGAUUGCGAAGGCAGCUUACUAAACUGCCACUGACAUUGAUGCACGAAAGUGUGGGUAUCAAACAGGAUUAGAUACCCGGGUAGUC
rnacentral:rRNA from 1 species